GAAAUGCGAUAAGUAAUGUGAAUUGCAGAAUUCAGUGAAUCAUCGAAUCUUUGAACGCACCUUGCGCUCCUUGGUAUUCCUUGGAGCAUGCCUGUUUGAGUAUCAUGAAAUCUUCAAAGUAAAUCUUUUGUUAACUCAAUUGGUUUCUACUUUGGUAUUGGAGGUCUUUGCAGCUUCACACCUGCUCCUCUUUGUUCAUUAGCUGGAUCUCAGUGUUAUGCUUGGUUCCACUCGGCGUGAUAAGUUAUCUAUCGCUGAGGACACUGUAAAAGGUGGUCAAGGUAAAUGCAGAUGAACCGCUUCUAAUAGUCCAUUGACUUGGACAAUACUUUUAUGAUCUGAUCUCAAAUCAGGUAGGACUACCCGCUGAGCUUAAGC
rnacentral:misc_RNA from 1 species